AUUGAACGCUGGCGGCAUGCCUUACACAUGCAAGUCGAACGGCAUCGCGGGAAAGCUUGCUUUCCUGGCGGUGAGUGGCGAACGGGUGAGUAACACAUCGGAACGUACCGGCUAGUGGGGGAUAACCCGUCGAAAGACGGGCUAAUACCGCAUACGCUCUUCGGAGGAAAGCAGGGGACCUUUGGGCCUUGCGCUAGCCGAGCGGCCGAUGUCCGAUUAGCUAGUUGGUGGGGUAAAGGCCUACCAAGGCGACGAUCGGUAGCGGGUCUGAGAGGACGAUCCGCCACACUGGGACUGAGACACGGCCCAGACUCCUACGGGAGGCAGCAGUGGGGAAUCUUGGACAAUGGGGGCAACCCUGAUCCAGCAAUGCCGCGUGGGUGAAGAAGGCCUUCGGGUUGUAAAGCCCUUUCGGCAGGGAAGAAAUCGGCGGGGCGAAUAACCCUGCUGGAUGACGGUACCUGCAGAAGAAGCACCGGCUAACUACGUG
rnacentral:rRNA from 1 species